AUUAUAAAUAAUGCGUACCUACAUCGCAUACUUAGGGAUGCCAAUGGGCAUGAAUAUUCGAAAUUUUAUCUGAGUCCUAACCUGAACAUGAUGGAUUUAGUUGAUGCUAAAUGGAUAUAGGUAUGAAAAAUAAAAAUCUGAUGAAUUUGGAUUCGAAAAUGGAUUUUGUCUGUACCCGAUCCGAGCUCGAACUCAAUAUGAAUCCAAAUUGAUUUACAUUAUAUAAUAUAUGUAUAUAUAUAUAAAUGUUUGAUGUUUUUUGAAGUUGUAUUUUAAGAAUUUAGAUUUAAUUAAUGUAAUAUAUUUUGAAAUGUGGUUAAGAGAAACAAUUGUUUGGGAUUCGAUUUUUCAGGUUUGAGUUUGGAUAUAGAUUUUUAAAAUUCGUUAGAUUCGCACUCAGAUUCGAAUUUUUGAAUUUGGUUGCUGAAUUAGAGUUCAAAUUUUAGAAAAUUCAUUCCGAAUCCAACCUGUUGAUAUCCCUAAGCAUAAGUUUGAAACUUACAUCCUCAAAAAGAACUACAAAAAUAAUAAAAAUUUAUCAGAAACACC
rnacentral:lncRNA from 1 species